rnacentral:rRNA from 1 species
AUUGAACGCUGGCGGCAUGCCUUACACAUGCAAGUCGAACGGUAACGGGCCUUCGGGUGCCGACGAGUGGCGAACGGGUGAGUAAUGCAUCGGAACGUACCUUUCAGUGGGGGAUAACGUAGCGAAAGUUACGCUAAUACCGCAUAUUCUGUGAGCAGGAAAGCAGGGGAUCGCAAGACCUUGCGCUGAUUGAGCGGCCGAUGUCAGAUUAGCUAGUUGGUGAGGUAAAGGCUCACCAAGGCGACGAUCUGUAGCGGGUCUGAGAGGAUGAUCCGCCACACUGGAACUGAGACACGGUCCAGACUCCUACGGGAGGCAGCAGUGGGGAAUUUUGGACAAUGGGGGCAACCCUGAUCCAGCCAUGCCGCGUGAGUGAAGAAGGCCUC